GGCACAAGUUCACACCUAUAUGCUGCUUAUGCACCUUCAUACCAGCUUCUCAAGAGUUCACUAGAACCAGCUUUCUGAGCAAAAAAGGUAUUUAAGAAGUUGGGGUUCCUCCAUUCAUUGCUGGAGAAUGGCAUCUGGCAGCUGUAUGCUGGACGCUGGAUUCUUUGGGUCCUCCAGCCCUGGGACCAAUAUGGAUUCCUUGGUCCCAGUAUACUUAUCUCUGUCUGACUGGAUAAUCUGAGACGAGAGUCCUGUCCAGUCAAUCUUACUCUCCCAUUAAUAAAAUAUUAAAAACU